rnacentral:lncRNA from 1 species
UCGCCUGAAAAUCCAACUAUUUCCAAAAAUUACCAAAAUUUACAAGAAUGAAGAUCUUAAUGAGUAGAGUAACUUUCAUACCUGCGACCAAGGCCAAUUUGGCCGGUGAGAGCUUCAAUUGUACAUAAAUCCGUCGAAAACCGUAAAGAUGGUGUGCUUCGAUUCGACCUCAAUGCUCACUCCAACGCCUCCACAAGUGUUUGGGCUUUGUUCCUGAGGUUGAGGGGAGUUUAUUUGUAGUGGUAAUUGGAGGAGGUAGCUUCCAAUCAUGGCGGAAUGAAACCCAACCCUUGCGCCCCCUUUUUGCAUGGUUUUACCCAAAAUUCACCAAUUUCCACCCAAUUUUCACAUGUAAAUGGAAGAGGGAUCGGUUGGCCUAGUGGUAAGGAUUAUUUUGACACUAACCUUGUCAUCCAAGGUGGCUGGAGAUGGGAGAAUCCACCAGGUUGGGUCACGGGUUGAGGGAAACCCGGUUUCCCCUUUUUCUUUUCUCCCUCAUUUCUCCUCCUUGCUCUCUUCUCUGGUUGGUCCCUCACUUCUCUUCUCUUCCUGAUUGGGCAGCAGCCCUUCCCUUCUCCUCCUUUCUUCUUCUCCCCCCAUUCCUUUUCUUUUUCUUCCCCUUUUCUGUCACACACACACACACACACACACACACACACACACACACAAACACACACUCGUACACACACACAUGUCUUCCUAAUUUAGCAUACAUUAAUAUAAUAUAAAUAGAAUAGUUAUUUCUUCAAAAUACUUUCGGUUCGUAAUUCCAAAUUCACUUCUGCUUGCGCUUACUCGUUUAUAUCGUCAAGUACUUCAGGAAUACGCUAAAAGAAUAUUUAGUACGUCUCACUACACAUUGGUCAAUGAAAGUCAACACCUUCACCUCUAGGGCAUUUUCGUAAAUUCACACUUUUAAAAUUACAAAAACCAUAACUUUUAGGGACGGGAUGUCACAGCUAUAUAUAGGUAAUAAAUCUAUUAAUUGACUAAUUAACAUAUUUUGAAAGAAAUUAUUUGGGGAGUUAUGGAAUGAUUAAGAUAAUUAGCUAAAAAAGGGAAAAUGAGGUAAAAAUAUAUAUGGAAUGAAAUAGGUUUUGGGAGUUACCUUGUAGAAGGGAUUUGAUGAGAUAGGUAUUGAAUUGCUACAUAUAUUGGGCACUUUUGACUUGGUUGAGGGAUGAUUACCCGCUACUCGCGUGUAGGAAUCCCAAUAUGCCUCAAGGGUAUUUUUGUCAUCUUUUGUCCAAAAAUCCACGUGUCGCCUUGUGAUUAUUUUUUGCUCCACAAAUGUCCCCACACUUGUUGGGCUACUUGUAGGAAAGGGCAACAGGUGUAGAGAUCUUCUUGCUUUAGGAAACGUAGGACUGUUUCCUAUUUUGAUGUAAAUUCCCUCUUUAAUAGGAAAGUAGAUCCUUCUAGGAAAAGGAAAUAAAUUUAUCUCAAAGCCUAUUUAAGUUGACCUUAAGUGGGUUAUUAAAUCAACUUUGGAGAGCGAUUUAUUCUACCCUACAAGAGAGAUAGAGCUUAGAAGAUAUUUGUU